AGCGUACACGGUGGAUGCCCUGGCAGUCAGAGGCGAUGAAGGACGUGCUAAUCUGCGAAAAGCGCCGGCGAGGUGAUAUGAACCUUUGACCCGGCGAUGUCCGAAUGGGGAAACCCAGUGUGUUCCGACACACUAUCGUUAACUGAAUACAUAGGUUAACGAGGCGAACCGGGGGAACUGAAACAUCUAAGUACCCCGAGGAAAAGAAAUCAACCGAGAUUCCCCCAGUAGCGGCGAGCGAACGGGGAGCAGCCCAGAGUCUGAAUCAGCUUGUGUGUUAGUGGAACGGUCUGGAAAGUCCGACGGUACAGGGUGAUAGUCCCGUACACGAAAAUGCACAGGUUGUGAACUCGAAGAGUAGGGCGGGACACGUGGUAUCCUGUCUGAAUAUGGGGGGACCAUCCUCCAAGGCUAAAUACUCCUGACUGACCGAUAGUGAACCAGUACCGUGAGGGAAAGGCGAAAAGAACCCCGGCGAGGGGAGUGAAAAAGAACCUGAAACCGUGUACGUACAAGCAGUGGGAGCACCUUCGUGGUGUGACUGCGUACCUUUUGUAUAAUGGGUCAGCGACUUAUAUUCUGUAGCAAGGUUAACCGUAUAGGGGAGCCGAAGGGAAACCGAGUCUUAACUGGGCGUUAAGUUGCAGGGUAUAGACCCGAAACCCGGUGAUCUAGCCAUGGGCAGGUUGAAGGUUGGGUAACACUAACUGGAGGACCGAACCGACUAAUGUUGAAAAAUUAGCGGAUGACUUGUGGCUGGGGGUGAAAGGCCAAUCAAACCGGGAGAUAGCUGGUUCUCCCCGAAAGCUAUUUAGGUAGCGCCUCGUGAACUCAUCUUCGGGGGUAGAGCACUGUUUCGGCUAGGGGGCCAUCCCGGCUUACCAACCCGAUGCAAACUACGAAUACCGAAGAAUGUUAUCACGGGAGACACACGGCGGGUGCUAACGUCCGUCGUGAAGAGGGAAACAACCCAGACCGCCAGCUAAGGUCCCAAAGUCAUGGUUAAGUGGGAAACGAUGUGGGAAGGCCCAGACAGCCAGGAUGUUGGCUUAGAAGCAGCCAUCAUUUAAAGAAAGCGUAAUAGCUCACUGGUCGAGUCGGCCUGCGCGGAAGAUGUAACGGGGCUAAACCAUGCACCGAAGCUGCGGCAGCGACACUAUGUGUUGUUGGGUAGGGGAGCGUUCUGUAAGCCGUUGAAGGUGGCCUGUGAGGGUUGCUGGAGGUAUCAGAAGUGCGAAUGCUGACAUAAGUAACGAUAAAGCGGGUGAAAAGCCCGCUCGCCGGAAGACCAAGGGUUCCUGUCCAACGUUAAUCGGGGCAGGGUGAGUCGACCCCUAAGGCGAGGCCGAAAGGCGUAGUCGAUGGGAAACAGGUUAAUAUUCCUGUACUUGGUGUUACUGCGAAGGGGGGACGGAGAAGGCUAUGUUAGCCGGGCGACGGUUGUCCCGGUUUAAGCAUGUAGGCGGAACGAUUAGGUAAAUCCGGUCGUUUUUUAACGCUGAGGUGUGAUGACGAGGCACUACGGUGCUGAAGUAACAAAUGCCCUGCUUCCAGGAAAAGCCUCUAAGCAUCAGGUAACAUCAAAUCGUACCCCAAACCGACACAGGUGGUCAGGUAGAGAAUACCAAGGCGCUUGAGAGAACUCGGGUGAAGGAACUAGGCAAAAUGGUGCCGUAACUUCGGGAGAAGGCACGCUGAUAUGUAGGUGAAGCCCCUGCGGGUGGAGCUGAAAUCAGUCGAAGAUACCAGCUGGCUGCAACUGUUUAUUAAAAACACAGCACUGUGCAAACACGAAAGUGGACGUAUACGGUGUGACGCCUGCCCGGUGCCGGAAGGUUAAUUGAUGGGGUUAGCGGUAACGCGAAGCUCUUGAUCGAAGCCCCGGUAAACGGCGGCCGUAACUAUAACGGUCCUAAGGUAGCGAAAUUCCUUGUCGGGUAAGUUCCGACCUGCACGAAUGGCGUAAUGAUGGCCAGGCUGUCUCCACCCGAGACUCAGUGAAAUUGAACUCGCUGUGAAGAUGCAGUGUACCCGCGGCAAGACGGAAAGACCCCGUGAACCUUUACUAUAGCUUGACACUGAACACUGGUCCUUGAUGUGUAGGAUAGGUGGGAGGCUUUGAAGUGUGGACGCCAGUCUGCAUGGAGCCGUCCUUGAAAUACCACCCUUUAAUGGCUGGUGUUCUAACGUAGACCCGUAAUCCGGGUUGCGGACAGUGUCUGGUGGGUAGUUUGACUGGGGCGGUCUCCUCCCAAAGAGUAACGGAGGAGCACGAAGGUUAGCUAAUCCUGGUCGGACAUCAGGAGGUUAGUGCAAUGGCAUAAGCUAGCUUGACUGCGAGAGUGACGGCUCGAGCAGGUGCGAAAGCAGGUCAUAGUGAUCCGGUGGUUCUGAAUGGAAGGGCCAUCGCUCAACGGAUAAAAGGUACUCCGGGGAUAACAGGCUGAUACCGCCCAAGAGUUCAUAUCGACGGCGGUGUUUGGCACCUCGAUGUCGGCUCAUCACAUCCUGGGGCUGAAGUAGGUCCCAAGGGUAUGGCUGUUCGCCAUUUAAAGUGGUACGCGAGCUGGGUUUAGAACGUCGUGAGACAGUUCGGUCCCUAUCUGCCGUGGGCGCUGGAGAAUUGAGGGGGGCUGCUCCUAGUACGAGAGGACCGGAGUGGACGCAUCACUGGUGUUCGGGUUGUCAUGCCAAUGGCACUGCCCGGUAGCUAAAUGCGGAAGAGAUAAGUGCUGAAAGCAUCUAAGCACGAAACUUGCCCCGAGAUGAGUUCU
rnacentral:rRNA from 1 species